rnacentral:rRNA from 1 species
CCUACGGGUGGCAGCAGUAGGGAAUUUUCGUCAAUGAGCGCAAGCCUGAACGAGCGAUACCGCGUGCACGAGGAAGGUCUUCGGAUCGUAAAGUUCUGUUGAAGGGGAAAAAGAGCGGAGAGAGGAAAUGCUUUCUGAUUGAUAUUACCCUUCGAGGAAGUCACGGCUAACUACGUGCCAGCAGCCGCGGUAAUACGUAGGUGGCGAGCGUUAUCCGGAAUGAUUGGGCGUAAAGGGUGCGUAGGCGGCCUGCUAAGUCUGGAGUGAAAGGUACGGGCUCAACCGGUACAUGCUCUGGAAACUGGCGGGCUAGAGAGAAGGAGAGGGAGGGGGAAUUCCAUGUGAAGCGGUAAAAUGCGUAGAUAUAUGGAAGAACAUCAGAGGCGAAGGCGGCCGCCUGGCUUGUUAAAGGACGCUGAGGAACGAAAGCGUGGGGAGCAAAUAGGAUUAGAUACCCAGUAGUC